rnacentral:rRNA from 1 species
GACGAACGCUGGCGGCGUGCUUAACACAUGCAAGUCGAACGAUGAAGCGCCUUCCUUUUUGGUGGGUGUGGAUGAGUGGCGAACUGGUUAGUAACACGUGAGUCUCCUGACCCCUUCUUCUGGAUUACCGCAUGCCAGUGUGGCUACUACGUGAUAUUCUGGGUCUGUCGCAUGAUUGGUCUGGGACGGUUUUUCUUUCGCUUGUGGAUGGGCUCGCGGCCUAUCAGCUUGUUGGUGGGGUGAUGGCCUACCAAGGCGGUGACGGGUAGCCGGCCUGAGAGGGUGGACGGACACAAGGGGACUGAGACACGGCGAAGACUCAUACGGGAGGCAGCAGGGGGGAAUAUUGCAAAAUGGGCGCAAGCCUGAUGCAGCGAAGCCGCGUGAGGGAUGGAGGCCUGAGGGUUGUGAACAUCUUUCGCAAGUGAAGCAGGCCUGCCUCGUUUGUGGGUGGGUUGACGGUAGCUGGAUAAGAAGCGCCGGCUAACUACGUG